UACGUAGGGUGCAAGCGUUGUCCGGAAUUAUUGGGCGUAAAGAGCUCGUAGGCGGUCUGUUGCGUCGGCUGUGAAAACCCGGGGCUCAACCCCGGGCCUGCAGCCGAUACGGGCAGACUAGAGUUCGGCAGGGGAGACUGGAAUUCCUGGUGUAGCGGUGAAAUGCGCAGAUAUCAGGAGGAACACCGGCGGCGAAGGCGGGUCUCUGGGCCGUAACUGACGCUGAGGAGCGAAAGCGUGGGGAGCGAACAGG
rnacentral:rRNA from 1 species